GACGAACGCUGGCGGCGUGCUUAACACAUGCAAGUCGAGCGGAAAGGCCCCUUCGGGGGUACUCGAGCGGCGAACGGGUGAGUAACACGUGAGUAAUCUGCCCCUGGCUUUGGGAUAACCACCGGAAACGGUGAUCAAUACCGGAUAGGACCACUUCUCGCAUGGGAGGGCGGGGGAAAGUUUGUCGGCCAGGGUUGUGCUCGCGGCCUAUCAGCUUGAUGGUGAGGUAAUGGCUCACCAUGGCUCUGACGGGUAGCCGGCCUGAGAGGGUGACCGGUCACACUGGGACUGAGACACGGCCCAGACUCCUACGGGAGGCAGCAGUGGGGAAUAUUGGACAAUGGGCGGAAGCCUGAUCCAGCAACGCCGCGUGAGGGAUGACGGCCUUCGGGUUGUAAACCUCUUUCAGCAGGGACGAAGCGCAAGUGACGGUACCUGCAGAAGAAGCACCGGCCAACUACGUGCCAGCAGCCGCCGCAG
rnacentral:rRNA from 1 species